GAUGAACGCUGGCGGCGUGCCUAAUACAUGCAAGUCGAGCGAACAGAUAAGGAGCUUGCUCCUUUGACGUUAGCGGCGGACGGGUGAGUAACACGUGGGUAACCUACCUAUAAGACUGGAAUAACUCCGGGAAACCGGGGCUAAUGCCGGAUAACAUUUAGAACCGCAUGGUUCUAAAGUGAAAGAUGGUUUUGCUAUCACUUAUAGAUGGACCCGCGCCGUAUUAGCUAGUUGGUACGGUAACGGCUUACCAAGGCAACGAUACGUAGCCGACGUGACAGGGUGAUCGGCGACACGAGAAGGGAGACACGGUCCAGAGGCCUAAGGGAGGCAGCAGAAGGGAAUCGUCGGCAAUGGGGGAAAGCGUGACGGAGCAACGGCGCGUGAGUGAUGAAGGUCUUCGGAGCGGAAAACUCUGUUAUGAGGGAAGAACAAAUGUGUAAGGAACUGUGCACGGCGUGACGGUACCGAAUCAGAAAGCAACGGCUAACUACGUG
rnacentral:rRNA from 1 species